rnacentral:rRNA from 1 species
GUCCACGCCGUAAACGAUGAGUGCUCGAUGUCGCGGGUAUUGACCCCUGCGGUGUCAAAGCUAACGCACUAAGCACUCCGCCUGGGGAGUACGGCCGCAAUGCUAAAACUCAAAGGAAUUGACGGGGGCCCCGCACAAGCGGUGGAGCAUGUGGUUCAAUUCGACGCAACGCGAAGAACCUUACCUGGGUUAAAUCCGCCGGAACCCUUUUGAGACAGAGGGGUGCUCGCAAGAGAGCCGGUGAGAAGGUGCUGCAUGGCUGUCGU